CAAGAUAUAACAGUUUUACAAAAUUGUUAAAUGUAAACUUUUAGUUAUUUAUUGUACAGUAGAAUGCUUCUGCUACAUAAAUAUGGGCUGUUUUUGACAAUGCAAUGCACAUAUAUCGGGUAUUACCACCAUUAAGUCAUGCUAAAUUACUGAAAUCUUCACAAUUCUAGCAUUUUAGUUAAAUUUUAGACGGUUUUCGUGUGAAACGAAAGUGGCCGCAUUCGUGUUCAUCCUUUAUAUUAAAAUGUAUGUUGUAUUUUAUGAUAAUAC
rnacentral:lncRNA from 1 species